rnacentral:misc_RNA from 1 species
GGACUGUCAGCCAUCAGUUACUAGGAUCAAUGAGAGUUUAUCGCCAGCAUCUUUUGAUUCUAUUGUGGUCACAGAAAGUGACACGAAGGUUGAUAAAUUCACAAGUACCAGUCCAAUGAAUUCUGCAGGAUGUUUAGAGGCAGGCCAGCUCAUGCAAGAACUUCACUGUGGGGAGCAUGGAGGUAGUUUUUCAGAGACUCAAUACGUCCCUGUUUUUGUUAUGCUUUCUAGUGGUGUAAUCAACAAUUUCUGCCAGUUGAUGGAUCCUGAUGGUGUUAAACAGGAGUUGCAACAGCUUAAGUCUUUAAAAAUUGAUGGUGUUGUGGUAAAUUGCUGGUGGGGCAUCGUUGAAAGCUGGGUGCCUCAAAAAUAUGAGUGGUCUGGCUACAGAGAAUUGUUCAAAAUAAUCCGUGAUUUCAAUAUGAAACUACAGGUUGUAAUGGCAUUUCAUGAAAAUGGAGGAAGUGAUACCGGUGGCAUGUUCAUAUCCCUUCCUCAGUGGGUUCUGGAGAUAGGCAAAGACAAUCAGGAUAUAUUCUUCACAGAUCAUCAAGGAAGAAGGAACACAGAAUGCCUAUCCUGGGGCAUUGACAAAGAACGAGUAUUAAGAGGUAGAACUGCCAUCGAGG